GCAUAUCAAUAAGCGGAGGAAAAGAACCAACAGGGAUUGCCCUAGUAACGGCGAGUGAAGCGGCAACAGCUCAAAUUUGAAAUCUGGCUACCUUUCGUAGUCCGAGUUGUAAUUUGUAGAGGAUGCYUUUGGUGAGGUGCCUUCCGAGUUCCCUGGAACGGGACSCCAUAGAGGGUGAGAGCCCCGUACGGUUGGAUACCAAGCCUCUGUAUAGCUCCUUCAACGAGUCGAGUAGUUUGGGAAUGCUGCUCUAAAUGGGAGGUAUAUCUCUUCUAAAGCUAAAUAUAGGCUAGAGACCGAUAGCGCACAAGUAGAGUGAUCGAAAGAUGAAAAGCACUUUGAAAAGAGAGUUAAACAGCACGUGAAAUUGUUGAAAGGGAAGCGCCUAUGACCAGACUUGUUUCUGGAAGUUUCGUUAGCCCUCGGGCUGAUUUACUCUGUCCAGUACAGGCCCAGCAUCAGUUUGCUGUCGGGGAGAAAGGCUCUGGGAACGUAGCUCCCCCCUUCUGGGGGGAGUGUUAUAGCCCUCUGCAUAAUACCCUUCGGCAGACUGAGGACCGCGCUUCGGCAAGGAUGCUGGCGUAAUGGUCAUCAGCGACCCGUCUUGAAACACGGACCAAGGAGUCAACCUUAUGUGCGAGUGUUUGGGUGUAAAACCCCAGCGCGUAAUGAAAGUGAACGUAGGUGAGAGCUUCGGCGCAUCAUCGACCGAUUCUGAUGUUUUCGGAUGGAUUUGAGUAAGAGCACACAGGGUUGGACCCGAAAGAAGGUGAACUAUGCUUGUAUAGGGUGAAGCCAGAGGAAACUCUGGUGGAGGCUCGCAGCGGUUCUGACGUGCAAAUCGAUCGUCAAAUAUGAGCAUGGGGGCGAAAGACUAAUCRAACCUUCUAGUAGCUGGUUCCAG
rnacentral:rRNA from 1 species